AUUGAACGCUGGCGGCAUGCCUUACACAUGCAAGACGAACGGCAGCGGGGGAGAAGCUUGCUUUUCCUGCCGGCGAGUGGCGAACGGGUGAGUAAUACAUCGGAACGUGCCCUGUAGUGGGGGAUAACUAGUCGAAAGAUUAGCUAAUACCGCAUACGACCUGAGGGUGAAAGUGGGGGACCGCAAGGCCUCAUGCUAUAGGAGCGACCGAUGUCUGAUUAGCUAGUUGGUGGGGUAAAGGCCUACCAAGGCGACGAUCAGUAGCUGGUCUGAGAGGACGAGCAGCCAAACUGGGAGUGGGGCACGGCCCAGACUCCUACGGGAGGCAGCAGUGGGGAAUUUUGGACAAUGGGCGAAAGCCUGAUCCAGCAAUGCCGCGUGUGGGAAGAAGGCCUUCGGGUUGUAAAGCACUUUUGUCCGGAAAGAAAUGGCUCUGGUUAAUACCUGGGGUCGAUGACGGUACCGGAAGAAUAAGGACCGGCUAACUACGUGCCAGCAGCCGCCGUAACAC
rnacentral:rRNA from 1 species